rnacentral:rRNA from 1 species
UACGUAGGGUGCGAGCGUUGUCCGGAAUUACUGGGCGUAAAGAGCUCGUAGGUGGUUUGUCGCGUUGUUCGUGAAAACCGGGGGCUUAACCCUCGGCGUGCGGGCGAUACGGGCAGACUUGGGUACUGCAGGGGAGACUGGAAUUCCUGGUGUAGCGGUGGAAUGCGCAGAUAUCAGGAGGAACACCGGUGGCGAAGGCGGGUCUCUGGGCAGUAACUGACGCUGAGGAGCGAAAGCGUGGGGAGCGAACAGG